GCUCGGUUUGUCGUCAUGCAGCUAAUCUGGAAGAUGAGCAGCACUGUGGCCAGCCCAAUGUCAACGGUUGUCUCUUCAAGCAGUGGGAAAAAAUCGACCAGCUUUACUCCUGAAUUGCAGAGUAUGAUGUUUUCCCUGGGAGAUGCUCGAAGGCCACUCCAUGAAACUGCAGUACUGGUGGAAGACAUUGUCCACACUCAGCUGAUAAAUUUGUUGCAGCAAGCAGCUGAAGUUUCUCAGAUGAGAGGAGCUCGAGUCAUCUCUGCUGAAGAUCUUCUGUUUUUAAUGCGCAAAGAUAAGAAGAAGCUUAGAAGGCUACUAAAAUACAUGUUUUUUCGAGACUACAAAUCUAAAAUUGUCAAAGGAAUAGAAGAAGAUGACCUCCUCGAAGACAAAUUCAACAGUAAUAACACCAACAAAAGGCAGAAGCUUGCUCAAGACUUUCUCAACUCCAUUGACCAGACUGGAGAGCUCUUAGCCAUUUUUGAAGAUGAUGAGAUUGAUGAUGUCAAGCAAGAGCGAAUGGAGAGAGCAGAAAGACAAACACGAGCCAUGGACUCAGUCCAGUACGCAGAAUUCUGUGAAAGUCGGCAAUUGAGUUUUUCAAAGAAAGCAUCCAAAUUUCGUGACUGGUUGGACUGUAGCAGUAUGGAAAUAAAGCCAAAUGCAGUUGCAAUGGAGAUUUUGGCAUAUUUAGCAUACGAGACUGUGGCCCAGCUGGUGGACUUGGCCCUUUUGGUUAAACAGGACAUGGCUCCCAAAGCUGGUGACCCAUUCAGUCAUGCCAUAUCUGCCACCUUCAUACAGUACCACAAUUCUACUGAGCCACAUCUCUUAGGGCAAUCUACCAGUGUGAAGACCAGUCUUGACUCCCCUGAAAACACACCACCUCCUACACCCACCCCCCCAGCAUCAGCAGGACAGCAACACCUUGGGAAAACCCCAUCAGGAGCCUUGGGGAAUGGUGGAAUUGGACAGGACUCUACCAAAUCCAAACAAAGAAAAAGAAAAAAGAGCACUGCAGCCUGUGGUAUAGAGGCUCAAAGUGAUGCCAUCCAGCCCAGCCACAUCAGAGAGGCCAUUCGACGCUACGGCCACAAGAUUGGCCCCCUUUCCCCAUUCACAAGUGCCUACCGCAGGAACGGGAUGACUUUUCUCGCCUGCUGAUGUGGAUGUGGCUGCAGCAACAGGAAAGACAGUGUUAUAUUAAGACUGAGGCUGAAGCACAUCUUGUCCCUUGAAACAGCCAUUGGUACCAAGCUGUCACAGUACUGCCUGCAGUCAGACAUAGCAAAACUAAAGUGUUAGAACUUCAUGUUACACACCACUCCACGUGGAAUUUCACAGAACAUGCUGUAGGCCAAGUUUUGAGUGCAGCUGGGCCAGUUCAUGGUUACAGAUGAGCACUGUGUGAAACGGAAUGAUUUGAACCUGAAACCAGGCAGAACACAUUGGCUUCAGCUGGAUGUGCUGGGAGUUAUGGAGUUUGUAGGAAACCAAAACUCAGAAGGGGAUAAGCCCUCACAAACCAAAGCAAAAGCAGGGAUUUGUACAAGUGCCUGCAGGCUGAACCUGCACAAUUGGGAAGGACUUGACAUCUGGCAAACAGACUGACCUUUGUGUCAAGGAUGAACAUGCACUGAAAGUCUGUAGGGAAACUCACAGAAUCCCGAACUUGCUAAAGUCUCCAACCUUUUGCCAAGCUGCAAGGUGCAAGGUGCAAAGCCCAGGUGAGAUUUUGAUGUCACCCACAAUGGAUGUGGGUUUUUUUCUGGGCUGCUUCUGCUUUUGUGGGGUCCAAGAAUGUUCUUCAUCAUAACCAUUAAAAACAAAAGGAAAAUCCUGACUUCUUCAGUCGUUCUCAGGCCUGUAUGUACCUCAUGUUGUCUUUACUUCAUCCAUCCAGAGUUCGAGAAGUGCUUGGAUAGCGCUGUCAGGCACACGGUGUGAUUCUUGGAGUUGUCCUAUGCAGGGCCAGGAGUUGGACUUCAGUGAUCCUUUUGGGUCCCUCCCAACUUAGGAUAUUCUAUGAUUCUAUGAUUCUAUCAUUGUUUUCUUUUCAUCCAUGUGGCUAAAGAGAAGCAUUUUUAUUAUUUGCAGUAUUUGUCAUUCCAGAUAACCCACAUCUCACUUCCAGUUCUCACUUUAUUCCUGUAUUGCUAGAUUACUAAUCUACAGCUGCUGGCACCCCAUUCUGCUCCUUUUAAGCAGUUUACUAACUCCUGAUAGUCAAGGCUGAUGACCUAAUUUUAGUCCUGUUAGUGCAAUUCAGUUUUCAGCCCUGACAUUGAAACUCAGUGGAGCAGAAUCCACUAAUGGGACUCCUGUAUUAGUUAGCAUAGCACUUCCUAAAAUGCUAAAAACACUGCUUAUAUUAAUUGUCCUGAAGACAGUGGAGGUAAGUGGGAUGAAGAAUAAGAAAUCAUAGUGAUAAACAACUUACAUGACCUUCUCAUAGAUGGCGUUUUGGCUGGAAAAAAGGAUUUCAUCCUUUUGCCGUGACCAAAAUUGUUGUACUCCAGAGAUAGCCUUUGAUAUUCCAGAUCAUGCAACACACUUCCACAUGAAGUUCAAUAUUUAGUUCAACCCUUUUAUGUAAAUCUCUGAGCUGAACAAAUUGCAAGUGAAGGAAGUAAAAGACUUCCAGGAAUCUGUUGUGAAAAGGCUGAUGAUUACAGCUGAGAUUCCUCCUAUAUGAGAAAACCAUCCCUUGGUUGAUGGUGUGGCUGCAUCUUGGAGCAUCAAGCACAGUGUUUAUGUAAAUCUGAGUGUUCUUCUGCUUGUUCUGCUGCAAAAGCCAUUCUCCCUGGGACACAGAAGGAAAUCCAGUGAGACAAGGUAAUAGAGAUGGAAGGCUGCUAAUGGAAAGAUUAGGUCACUGGGCUGUCAGACUUGUCUUUCUUAAGCACAUGUUUAUGCUUUAAGUUAAAUAAUACAGCAUGUUUAUGCAUGUGAAUAUAUAUAUAUACUGCAUAUGUAUCUGAAUAUAUGAAUGGUAAGAUGCUGUUCUGUGCAAGAAAGUCACAUCAGACUAGUUUCACAUUUUUAUGUAUUAUAUUACAUUUCAUUACAUUUAUAUUACAAUGUAAAAGGUUUCUGCCUUUCCCCAGAAAACACAGUCUUAACAUUCAUGUGCUCGUGUUCAACAAGCCUGUACACACACAGGAUCUUGGAGAGCAAGUUGGUUUGGAUGUUACCAGAAUUUUCUUGCCCCACAGAUGGUUCCUGUGUCUCCUAGCUCUGGAUAAAAUAUGUCCUUGUCAUUGCUUCAGUGCUGGAUUCAAACCCUGUUGAGGGAAUCAGUGGGUCGGGGUUCCCACUACUCCCGGUGUCCUUGUCCUUUUGUUCCAUAAAAAAGUAUUAUAUGUUCCUGUCACUGUACUUAAUAAACAAUUU